CACCAUAUAAGCAUCUGAUCCCAGUCAUUAAUUCUUUGUUUUGUGUUUUGGGGUAAUUUUUGAGCUCUAUGCUUUUCAUCUUUUCACUACGGACCAAUACUAUUAGUUUGAUUGUUCGGUUUUUCAAAUAUCCAGUUCCUUUCCUUUUACACCUGGCUUUGGACUAUUUCAAAGGUUAAAUGAGGUGUUUUCCGUGAUUGGAAAAAUACACAGCAGAGGUUGGGGAUGCUGUAAGCUUAAGAAUGCAAGGAGAUGACACUUCAGGUAAUAACACCAUUCAUCCAAACACCUGGUAAGUGCUGGCGGGAUAUCUAUAAAUAUUAAUAGGUUAUCUUUACAUUAUUUGUCUGUUUUAAUUAUUUGUCUUUUUCUUGAGUCUUCAUGAAUAAUGGUACUGACUGUGAGCCUGACCCUUUUAGAAAAAUGCUACACUACUGUAAUUAUACUUUAGGGAUACAAUAUUAUUUGAAAAGUCACCUCAAUACUAUUCAGACAUAUUAUAUUAUGUCUGGGAGUAAGAUCUUUGACAAAUGCAAACUUUCUUGACAUUACUCAUUACUUUUAGUGCAGGAUAGGUUGGCUGUGGGCAUAUUUUUAGCUCCAGUAGAUAAAUUAAAUCCGAUUGUGUUUUUUAUGUUUUUGGAUUUCCAGACCUUCAGUAUUUUCUGAAAUCCAAAGUCUGCUUAUGUGAUAGCUUGAAAUGAUGUCUACAAAUUCUUUGGUAUUGUUUCCUUAAGAGGUUGAGUCUAAUUCCUCUCCCCUUGAGUGUGGGCUCUACUUAUGACUCACUUCUAACAAAUAGAAUGUGACUAAAGUGAUGGUAUGUGACUUCCAAGACUAGGAGCUAGAAGUGUGGCCUCUCCUUGCUCUUUCGUUGAUUGCUCAUUCUCAGGGAAGCCAGCUGCCAUGUUAUGAGAACACUCAAUUAGCCCUACGGGGAGGCCCAGCUGGCAAGGCACAGAGGCCUCCUGCCGACAGCCGUGUGAGCACACCGUCUUGGAAGCAGAUCCAUUGGCCUCAGUCAAGCCUUCAGAUAACCACAGCCUUGCUGAUGUCCUAACUACAAAAUCUCAAGAGACCCUGAGUCAGAAUCACCCAGGGAGCGACGCCAAGUUCAUCGUGAGAAUGUGAAGACAUUUUGAAACGCGCAGCACCUCACCCAUGCCCGGCUACAGAAUAUGCUCUUCAAAUUGGGGUCCGCAGACCGGCGGCAGCAGCGUCCCCCGGGAGCUCGGAAGACCUGCGGUGUCUGGCCGCACCCCAGGCCUGUGGCAGCAGAAUCUGCCGCGUCACGACACCCUCAGCUGAGGAAACUAAGCCCUCACGACAAGGUGUGUAACUGGUGGAACCAGCGGAAACCCAGGUCACUUGAUUCCGAAGCAUGACCUUUACCCACGGGUGCUAUUCAUAGCUGUAACAACUGAGCAGCGCAAAGUAGGAGCAAUCCGAACAGAUGGCCCUUGAGCUGAGCCAUCCUGCGGACCCUUGCUGGGCCAUGCCGGGCAUGCUAGCGGGAGGCUAGCGCGGUGACUGGGGACGGAGGGGACCCCACGGUUG